UUAAGGCCCCUGAGAUGUUAUUUAUUACAGCAGCACAACUGAGCCCAUCUAGACCAUGUAUUUGACUCAAUAGCUCUCUUUUGUCGACCUAAGGACAUUGUUUCACUUCUGCCUCCAAUACUUAUUCUAUUUCUUGUCUGUGUUCCUGACAGGCCAUAAACUCCAUGAGGCUAUGGAUUGUGUCCGUCUAUCUAUCCCAAAGGGCCACCACAGUGCUGGGCAUAUAUAGCCGCCUUUUGAGAAGCACAUGUUGAACGAAUGAACAAAAAGUGUCCACCCAGUGUUGAAUGCAUCCUGAAGUUAACACUGGUAUUCCUGGAUGUUUGCCCAGUCUGUGGGUAAAUCGUGACUACUCACAGUUGUGGCAGGUGGCACCAGUAUAGCCCGUGUUACUGCAGUUACAGUAGAAGGUAGUCCAGGACUGUGAGCAGAAUCCUCCGUGUUCACAGUAGUUCGGCAAACACCUAACGGAAGAUUAAACCAAAAGCAAACAAAAUAAACCAACUCAGUUGAAAUGACAGGAAAAAAAAAUUAAUAUCCAACUGCAUGAAUUGAUAGUAGAAAUUGGUCUGCUGUAUGUCUGUAUGUAUAUAAGUCAGACUUGAGCAACAGUAAAAUAAUUCUGGGCUUCACCACAGAGGCAUGACCCAGAAAGAGAACAGAGGUACAGAAGUAAGAAAGGCCCAUUAAAGGUGUUGAGAUAAUCUCCUGCUCCGUCCACAGUAUAUCCCAAUGUUAGGAGAGAAAGACCCUAGUAAAUCAUGUUGAAGCGAUCUGUUGACGAUGAAGCUAAACCUGGAGGGAAGAUUUCAAAUCUGUAACUUGAACCAAGGGAAACCAUUAAUCACUUGUCCAAAAAAAUAA